GAUGAACGCUGGCGGCGUGCUUAACACAUGCGAGUCGAACGAAGCACCUUGAUUUGCUUCUUCGGAUGAAGAACUUGGUGCCUGAGUGGCGGACGGGUGAGUAACGCGUGGGUAACCUGCCUCAUACAGGGGGAUAACAGUUAGAAAUGACUGCUAAUACCGCAUAAGACCACAGCACCGCAUGGUGCCGGGGUAAAAACUCCGGUGGUAUGAGAUGGACCCGCGUCUGAUUAGGUAGUUGGUGGGGUAACGGCCUACCAAGCCGACGAUCAGUAGCCGACCUGAGAGGGUGACCGGCCACAUUGGGACUGAGACACGGCCCAAACUCCUACAGGAGGCAGCAGUGGGGAAUAUUGCACAAUGGGGGAAACCCUGAUGCAGCGACGCCGCGUGAGCGAUGAAGUAUUUCGGUAUGUAAAGCUCUAUCAGCAGGGAAGAAAAUGACGGUACCUGAGUAAGAAGCACCGGCUAAAUACGUG
rnacentral:rRNA from 1 species